rnacentral:rRNA from 1 species
AAAGAUUUAUCGCCUUAAGAGGGGUGAGCGGAUCAACAGUUAGUUGGUGAGGUAAAUGCUCACCAAGACGAUGACGGAUAGCCGGCCUGAGAGGGUGAUCGGCCGCAACGGGACUGAGACACGGCCCGUACUCCUACGGGAGGCAGCAGUGAGGAAUUUUGGACAAUGGAGGAAACUCUGAUCCAGCUAUUCUGCGUGAAGGAUGAAGCUUUUCGGAGUGUAAACUUCUUUUCUGGGGGAAGACGAAUGACGGUACCUCAAGAAUAAGAGGCGGCUAACUAUGUGCCAGCAGCCGCGGUAAUACAUAGGCCUCAAAUGUUACCCGGAGUUACUGGGCGUAAAGGGUCCGUAGCCGGAUAUGUAAGUCUAUCUUCAAAAACUGAAGCUUAACUUCAGGGAGGGGGUAGAUACUGUAUAUCUAGAGAUAGAAGGGGGUUAGUGGAAUUUCCGGUGGAGCGGUGGAAUGUGUUGAUAUCGGGAAGAACGCCAAAAGUGAAGACAGCUAACUACUACUAAUCUGACGGUGAGUGACGAAAGCAUAGGUAUCAAAUAGGAUUAGAUACCCUAGUAGUCUAUGCUGUAAAUGAUGUAUGC